rnacentral:rRNA from 1 species
CCUACGGGAUGCAGCAGUCGAGAAUCAUUCACAAUGGGGGAAACGCUGAUGGUGCGACGCCGCGUGGGGGAAUGAAGUUCUUCGGAUUGUAAACCUCUGUUAUGUGGGAGCAAAUUAAAAAGAUAGUACCUCAAGAGGGAUAGACGGCUAACUCUGUGCCAGUAGCCGCGGUAAUACAGAGGUCUGAAACGUUGUUCGGAAGCACUGGGCGUAAAGCGUGCGGAGGCUGUUUCGUAAGGCGUGUGUGAAAAGCGCGGGCUCAACCCGCGGAGGGCACAUGAUACUGCGAGACUAGAGUAAUGGAGGGGGAAGCGGAAUUCGCGGUGUAGCAGUGAAAUGCGUAGAUAUCGAGAGGAACACUGGUGGCGAAGGCGGGAUCCUGGACAUUAACUGACGCUGAGGCACGAAGGCCAGGGGAGCGAAAGGGAUUAGAUACCCGAGUAGUC